UGGAAUGUUCUCGGAUGAAAGAUCCGUCGCUUCAGGAUGAGUCUGCGGCCGAUUAGGUAGUUGUUGGGGUAAAAGCCCAACAAGCCUGUAAUCGGUACGGGUUGUGGGAGCAAGAGCCCGGAGAUGGAUUCUGAGACACGAAUCCAGGCCCUACGGGGCGCAGCAGGCGCGAAAACUUUACAAUGCGGGCAACCGUGAUAAGGAAACCCCGAGUGCCACCACAGGGUGGCUGUCCACCAGUGUAAAAAACUGGUGAAGAAAGGGCCGGGCAAGACCAGUGCCAGCCGCCGCGGUAAUACCGGCGGCUCGAGUGGUGGCCGCUUUUACUGGGCUUAAAGGGUCCGUAGCUGGAUUCACAAGUCCCUUGGGAAAUCCAUCGGCUUAACUGAUGGGCGUUCAGGGGAUACUGUGGUUCUAGGGACCGGGAGAGGUGAGAGGUACUGCCGGGGUAGGAGUGAAAUCCUGUAAUCCCGGUGGGACGACCUAUGGCGAAGGCAUCUCACCAGAACGGCUCCGACAGUGAGGGACGAAAGCUGGGGGAGCAAACCGGAUUAGAUACCCGGGUAGUCCCAGCUGUAACGAUGCGCGUUAGGUGUGU
rnacentral:rRNA from 1 species